UACGUAGGGGGCAAGCGUUGUCCGGAUUUAUUGGGCGUAAAGAGCGUGUAGGCGGUCAGGUAGGUCGGUUGUGAAAACUGGAGGCUCAACCUUCAGAGGUCGACCGAAACCCCCUGGCUAGAGUCCGGGAGAGGAGAGUGGAAUUCCUGGUGUAGCGGUGAAAUGCGCAGAUAUCAGGAAGAACACCCGUGGCGAAAGCGGCUCUCUGGAACGGUACUGACGCUGAGGAGCGAAAGCAUGGGGAGCGAACAGG
rnacentral:rRNA from 1 species